CCCGCACCUGGCGGCGAUGUCUCCGCUGCUGGCUGCCGGCAACUUCCGGUCUUCCGCUAGCCCCGCCUGCCGCUGCUAUCCCGCCUCGACCGCCGCCGUGGGCUGCCGCUGUCCGUGAGGGUAGACCAAGCCGCGCGCGUCGGCCACGGCACAGACCAAGCCAGCGCUGCCGGGCUGCGCCGCUCGCCGUCGCCUUGCGAGAGCCGACCGCGUAUACCUUCAGGGCAGCUUUGCAGAGAAAUUACAAAGGCGGCGAUGGCUCUAGCUCAAAGAGAAAUUGCUCAAGACUUUGUGUCUGUUCUCAGCAAGUACUGGUAGCACACUGCACACCUGGAGUAUGGCAAUUGUAGUGGACUGACAUUUUGCAUGAUUUGAAAUGCUUCAAUACUCUAGACUUGUGACAAAAGGUCAAUCAAAACUUGAAGGCAAAGGCAACGUGAAAGGGGGCCCAAAGUCGCGGGUGCAUGGACAGUGACUCUGGUACUGGAGUGACAAACUCCAUUUCUGCAGUCCUGGGAGCAUGCUUGAAUACAGAGAACAGUUGACUAAGGUGGACUGAAUGAUUUCACGUGGUUGUAGCAAUAUCUGUACUCAAUCUUGUUAUCUACGCAGUUCAUGUAAAAACUAGACUAAGGUGGACUGAAUGAUUUCACGUGGUUGUAGCAAUAUCUGUACUCAAUCUUGUUAUCUACGCAGUUCAUGUAAAAACUAGAGAUGCCAAGAGGAAGCGCUCUUUAAGAAUGAGAUAACAUUUUCUUUGUUCUGUCAUCGUCAGGCUGCUUAUGCAGGAGCAUGCUUGAAUAC